AUUACUCCAUUGUUCAUAAACUUACGACUCAUUGAUCCAGCUCUUAUUGUUGAAUUUAAUAGAAACUCUUUUGUUUUUCUGAUAGGCUGAAUCUGCUGGAGAUGGUGCUCCACGAGCUGUAUCCAAGCAUUGUUGGACACCUACAUCACACCGGACAAUUAGUACUUUGAAAUUUGAUGAGAGAGUUGCUACUAUACACCUUGGAGCUGCCCAGUCUAAUAAAGUUGUUUUGGAUGAUGAAUUUUAUUGUUGAUGCACACAAGCAUACGAUGGAGCUAAAUCAUGCAUUUUGAAUUUUUGCUGUAAGAAUAUAAGAAUUAUUAGUUAAAUAGGAUAUUCUCUACAUUGUUCUAGAAAACUCGGGCAUAGUUAUAGGUAUAGUUUUCGUACAAAAGUUCUACCAUAACAAGAUACUGGAAUUGAUUGUAAUAUUUAUAAACAUUGUGACUAGAUGCAAUUGAAAUUCCCGUUUCCAUAGUUA